rnacentral:lncRNA from 1 species
AUGUGUGCGUUGUUUGAGUUAUCCUGCAAGGUUGAUUCUAAUAGCCAUCAGAAGAAUAAUUUUUGUGACUUGCUGCUACAAUUAAUAAUUGUCCCAGUUAAGCACAAAACCCCUACAUUUACUAGUUGCAGUUGGUGCAAAGCACAGUAUCGCCCAAAAUGUGACACCAGUCCACCUGCAGCACCCAGGGGUGGUAAAGAACAUGACAGUCGAGGAAUGGAUGCAAAGAAAGUGUUGUGUCAACACGUGGGCACAAAAAUGGUAAUAAUUGCUUUUAAAGAGCACAAAACCUCAAACAGCAGCUAUCUUCCUUUGCAUUGAGUGAAGAAGAGGAACAUGUAAGUUGAUGGCUACAUUAAUAUACCCAUCCACUCGAUUCAGGGUUGUGGUGGAACUGGAACAAUCCUGGCAAGCAGUGGGUGCAAAGCACUAUCACAGAUAAUGUGACACCAGUCCAUCACAGGACUCACUCACACCACGGCCAAUUUUCACUAAUUUAUUAAUUCAUUAAUUUUAACAUAAUAGAUAUUUAUCAACCUUAACAAAAAUGUCAUAAAACUUGACAAUCCCUUAUCAU